AACCUAAUUUAAUCGAAAUAGAGUAUUUAUAACUAUAUGGAGUGUAAAUCGGCUCUGACGUCGGAGUUAAAAGUCAGAGUAAAAUCCUACAUUCACGCAGUGAAACUUUUGACUCUGUCAAGUGUCAAAAACGCGCCAGUAAAGAUUUUUGCCAACCGCGAAGAGGAAGAGGAGGAGGAGGAAGCACCAGCUUUCUAAAGUUCGUGAAACGGUCAUUUCCAUUUGGGAUUCUUAACGGAGUUGUGCUACAAGAAAGAACAAACCAUGCUACUGCGUGUUUUGUUUGGUGGGGAGCAGAAGUACGUGAAACUUUCUGACCUAACAUUUGAUGCAUUCCUGAAAGAAGUUUGUCUGAAAUUUAACAUUCCAGAAGGCAGACAAGACCUGAAAGUAUAUGACCAGUCUGAUACAGAAGUUGAUGUAGAUGUUUUUGAAGAAAUUGUGAAUGAGACACCUGGAACCUUUCGAGUUAUGUUGAGCAACAAAGAA